rnacentral:SRP_RNA from 1 species
GCCGAGCUUAGUAAUGUGGGCUUGUAACCCAGAUGGGGGCAAUAAUGUGGUGGAAUGUUGGGCCCCUCCAGAUGGUAGGGCUUGGUUUGCUUAUUUCUGGCCUGCCCUGUCCAAGCACAGAGUUGGGUCACGUGGCCCAAGCGAAAGCAUGGGCUGCUGGGCGCCUAAAGUGGGGCGGACCGCGUGAGGCUGGUUUCACAGAGCAAUGAAUAGCGCUCUCGCUCUGUGCAAUGGAAGGAUUACGGGCCGGUCUUCUCCAGGCCUAACAAAUGCCUGAUGGGCUGCUCCAAUUAAACCACUGCUUUU